UUAUAUUUAUAUCGUUGUAUUCCUUUUGUUUGUGUUAACCAAUUGUCGCUCGGAAUUAUUUUUUAUACAUCAUUUAUUGAUCUUGUAAUUUCUUGUAAUUUAGUUUGCGUCUUAUUUCUUUGGUGUCAUAUUUUGGCUAUGUUUGUGUUCGAUCAUACAGUAUAAUAAGUCGGUAGUUGCCCGCGAAUGGAUUUUUUUUUUAAUUUCUUGUGACUCUUUGCGUCUUAUUUGUUGAUUGCAGUUGGUUUUUGUUUUGUGUCAUGUGGAGAUAUGGUGUGAUUUUGUUUUUCUUUUGAUGUGUUUGCAUCUUAGAUUGGGAUUGCACUGAGUUAUUUCAUGAUUUUUUUUGUGCUAUAUUUU
rnacentral:lncRNA from 1 species